GGCUGAACGUGACGAGAAGCUGUUCAGCCGUUUUAGUGUCGCCAGUUUUGCGCUUUUCUACGAGAAACGAUUCGGGUGAAUUUUUGGGGAGAUAAGCUUGUAAACCAUGGAUGCAGAUCAUCUUUAAAAUCGGGAAACUGAAUGCGUUAGAAAAAAACGGGAACUGCGCUGGACCUCAAGUGACAGGUGUGAGCAAUCCAGUCCCCCCAAAAAAUAGAUGAACCAGAUUACCAGUGUCCUUCAGUGUCUCCCCAGUCACAGGAUCUGAAUCUAAUAAAACACCUUUGGGAUGUAGCACAACAGCUCUGAUUCAGGUGCUCACAUGUGUGGAACAGUUGAAGAGUCAGGUAUCUGACCUGAACCGGAAGGUUGACGUGCUGCUCCGGCAGAACAGCUCUCUGCUGAGUGAUGAUGAUGAUGAUGUGGAAGAUGUCCAGGCUGGUUUGCCACUGUGGACGUUCGAGGACGUGGAAGUGCUGGAGCAGAAACUGCAAGAUGAGAUGUAUAACAAGCUACUGGUUACAACAGCUGAUGUGCUGUCUGCUUCAGUGCAGGAGGUCCAGCUCUCAUCUGUAGUAAGUAACUUGCUUUUCUGUAACUUGCCUUCAAAAUAAAAGUCUAAAAACUUUGCCAGAGCCAGUUUAAGGGGAGCCUGCCCUGCUGGAAAAAGAUCAACAGAACCAUUAGGAUUAAACCUGAGUUUUUUUUUUUUUGUUUGUUUUUUUUUUGUUGCUUUCUAAUGGGAACUGGCUUAAUGGUUACAAUUUGACACCUCUAGUUCCCUGUAGGACACAUUUUGACCCCUUCACAUGUAUCUGUAGUCAGUCCCAGAAC
ensembl:lncRNA